rnacentral:tRNA from 1 species
GGGUGUGUAGCUCAGUGGUUAGAGCGCCAAUCUUAUAAGUUGGAUGUCCUUGGUUCAAAUCCAAGCACACCCACCA